ACCUGAAAUUCUUCGAAGCUCAAUUCUCAAGGGGG
rnacentral:sRNA from 1 species